AUGGCCUCUGUGCUGGCG
rnacentral:siRNA from 1 species